rnacentral:rRNA from 1 species
GUCUCCGUUGGUGAACCAGCGGAGGGAUCAUUACCGAGUUUACAACUCCCAAACCCAAUGUGAACGUUACCAAACUGUUGCCUCGGCGGGGUCACGCCCCGGGUGCGUCGCAGCCCCGGAACCAGGCGCCCGCCGGAGGAACCAACCAAACUCUUUCUGUAGUCCCCUCGCGGACGUAUUUCUUACAGCUCUGAGCAAAAAUUCAAAAUGAAUCAAAACUUUCAACAACGGAUCUCUUGGUUCUGGCAUCGAUGAAGAACGCAGCGAAAUGCGAUAAGUAAUGUGAAUUGCAGAAUUCAGUGAAUCAUCGAAUCUUUGAACGCACAUUGCGCCCGCCAGUAUUCUGGCGGGCAUGCCUGUCCGAGCGUCAUUUCAACCCUCGAACCCCUCCGGGGGAUCGGCGUUGGGGAUCGGGACCCCUCACACGGGUGCCGGCCCCGAAAUACAGUGGCGGUCUCGCCGCAGCCUCUCCUGCGCAGUAGUUUGCACAACUCGCACCGGGAGCGCGGCGCGUCCACGUCCGUAAAACACCCAACUUUCUGAAAUGUUGACCUCGGAUCAGGUAGGAAUACCCGCUGAACUUAAGCAUAU